rnacentral:tRNA from 1 species
GGCGGAGUGGUGGAACUGGUAGACGCGGCGGACUCAAAAUCCGCUGAGGGCAACCUCGUGGGGGUUCGACUCCCCCCUCCGCUACCA